GACGAACGCUGGCGGCGUGCUUAACACAUGCAAGUCGAGCGGAAAGGCCCUGCUUUUGUGGGGUGCUCGAGUGGCGAACGGGUGAGUAACACGUGAGUAACCUGCCCUUGACUUUGGGAUAACUUCAGGAAACUGGGGCUAAUACCGGAUAGGAGCUCCUGCUGCAUGGUGGGGGUUGGAAAGUUUCGGCGGUUGGGGAUGGACUCGCGGCUUAUCAGCUUGUUGGUGGGGUAGUGGCUUACCAAGGCUUUGACGGGUAGCCGGCCUGAGAGGGUGACCGGCCACAUUGGGACUGGGAUACGGCCCAGACUCCUACGGGAGGCAGCAGUGGGGAAUAUUGCACAAUGGGCGGAAGCCUGAUGCAGCAACGCCGCGUGCGGGAUGACGGCCUUCGGGUUGUAAACCGAUUUCGCCUGUGACGAAGCGUGAGUGACGGUAAUGGGGAAAGAAGCACCGGCUAACUACGU
rnacentral:rRNA from 1 species